rnacentral:rRNA from 1 species
GUCCACGCCGUAACGAUGGGUGCUAGGUGUGGGCGGUGUCGACUCCGUCCGUGCCGAAGCUAACGCAUUAAGCACCCCGCCUGGGGAGUACGGCCGCAAGGCUAAACUCAAAGGAAUUGACGGGGCCCGCACAAGCAGCGGAGCAUGUGGUUCAAUUCGACGCAACGCGAAGAACCUUACCAAGGCUUGACAUGCACAGGAAUGUCGUAGAAAUACGGCAGCCCUUCGGGGCCUGUGCACAGGUGGUGCAUGGCUGUCGU